CCCCCAUUUGCUUCCACCUGCCACAGACUCUGCACCAGCCAGAAGGCCCAGUCUCUCUCCUGGAGGCCCUUCCCAGCCCACCCUGCGCAGCUGGCCUCGCCCCCACCCCCCUCUCGGACCCAUGCCCAUGAGCUGCUCAUCACACAGCCCUCCCUACCCUGGCUGAGGCUGGUGUCUCCACAGGGCUGUCUUUCAGGACACAGUUCACAUCUCCUUCCUGAACUUGGGAUGUGUGUAACAGGAAGCAAACACAAUGCCAGAGAAAAAAUCAGCCACACCCGGAUCUUAGAGAUGUGGACAUGUUGGCCGGUAGAUGAAAAACGCAGUCAUAGAAAUCAUAAGCAAUCACCAACGAGCUGAGUGCUACAAAACAGAAGUGGAGGAGGGAGACAGAAGAAGAGCCCACUGUCCCCUUCCUGGAAUGACACUCCCUCGUGGUGCCCUACUCCUUCCAAGAUAAAGAAGAGGCACUCCAGCAACUGUGAGCUUCUGCUGUCUGCAAGAACAUCCCUCCUGCCCCUCCAAGACCCAGGUCAAGAGGCACCUCCCUGAGGAAGCUGAUGUCAAAAUCGACUUGGCCCUCUGUCUUGGGGUCACGAGGGACAAGGUUGCCCAGGCUGGAGUGUCGUGGCACGAUCAUAGCUCACUGCAGCCUCAACCUCCUGGGCUCAAGUGAUCCUCUCGCCUCAGCCUCCUGAGUAGCUGGGACUACAG